rnacentral:rRNA from 1 species
UACGUAGGGGGCAAGCGUUGUCCGGAAUCAUUGGGCGUAAAGAGCGUGUAGGCGGCCAGAUAAGUCCGCUGUGAAAUCUCGAGGCUCAACUUCGAGCUGUCGGUGGAAACUGUCUGGCUAGAGUCCGGAAGAGGAGAAUGGAAUUCCUGGUGUAGCGGUGAAAUGCGCAGAUAUCAGGAGGAACACCGGUGGCGAAGGCGGUUCUCUGGGCCUGACCUGACGCUGAGGAGCGAAAGCGUGGGGAGCGAACAGG